AAAGAGAGGCAGUUCUGUCAGUGGAACUCUUCACGGGCCCGGUCGCACCAGGUUUCUCGGCCUUGGGCCAUGGCUCGACCCAACAACAGGGGCCCAACCCACCUGUUCUCCCUCUCGAGGCCAUGGAGGCCGCGAGCAGCAAGCAGGAGGAGACGGGGAGGAGAGGAGGCGCAGGAGAUGGCGGCGCCGGGGACGACGAGGCGAAGAGGAAGGAGGAGACGCUCGCAUCCAGCAGGCUCCUCGAUCCGGGAUUCAAGCCCUCCAAGCUGUCGCAGGACCGGCUCGACAAGUUCAAGGAAUUGCACAAGAAACGGUUACAGAUAACUGAAAAGCCAAAGCAUAAAAGAAAACUGAAAGGAACAACUGGGAGAAGUACCAAAGUAAACGAUGAUUAUAAAUUCCCUGACAAGGAUGAAUCUGCUGAUAGUUCUCCAAGAGAUGUACACUAUUCAUCGUCAGUUACAGUAAUUCAAGAGGAUCCUGCAUCAGCGAUGUCCUCAAGGAACAAAAGGAAGCUACAUUGGGGCAUCGAUGGUCUUUGGCGCUUGUCUCAUCUCUCAUCUGUCCUAGACUCCUAUCUAUUCCAGACUUGAUAUUAAAGAACGAUGGGAAAGGAAGGCAAACAUGUGAAUAUCUGAAGAUCUAACAGCAAAGAUUCAUGUUUGUUAAAAGGUUCAUGACUUGAUAUCCAGCUGCAUUCAACUAAAAGCUGAAGGGCAAAAGAAAAAUGGCAGGCCGUUUCUACAGACUAUCAGGUUGCUGGUCAGGUUCAUGUUUGUGUCAGCAGGCAGAACACUGGAGGCCUGGAGCGCAAAGAAAAAUUCCAGAACUGAGCAGGAAGUUAGCAUCAGAUUUUCUUGGUUUUGCCUGAUAUUUUCUCCAGAUGCUUGGCUAGACUUUGCUCUGUUGUACCAUCUGAUUCAAGCUUUCAAGUGCCAGCCAGGAUAGUGUUUACGCGUUCACUUCUUGCGAUACGUUUUGUUUUAUGUUUGUCGCCUUCACUUGUUUAUCGCUUUCACUUCCUGUGAGAUUGAUGGUACAGCAGAGGCCCACGUUCAGGAUCUGUGCAACCUUUGCAAGGCCGAGCAGGCUAGUGUUGAUUUGGGCCUUUUCCUUUGCAACUGUUACAAAUGUUGAGUAUGAUUUGAUAGCAUAAUUGCACAAAGGAUUAUGUCUCA